rnacentral:rRNA from 1 species
CCCUUAGAUGUUCUGGGCCGCACGCGCGCUACACUGUUUGAUUCAGCGAGUCUUAACCUUGACCGAAAGGUUUGGGUAAUCUUCUAAAGUCAAACGUGAUGGGGAUCGAUCAUUGCAAUUAUUGAUCGUGAACGAGGAAUUCCUAGUAAAUGCAAGUCAUCAGCUUGCGUUGAUUACGUCCCUGCCCUUUGUACACACCGCCCGUCGCUACUACCGAUUGAAUGGUUUAGUGAGAUCUCCGGAUUGGCUCUGUAGGUCCCGCAAGGGAUUUAUUAGUAGCCAAGAAGCUGCUCAAACUUGAUAAUUUAGAGGAAGUAAAAGUCGUAACA